GACGAACGCUGGCGGCGCGCCUAACACAUGCAAGUCGAACGAGCGAGAGAGAGCUUGCUUUCUCGAGCGAGUGGCGAACGGGUGAGUAACGCGUGAGGAACCUGCCUCAAAGAGGGGGACAACAGUUGGAAACGACUGCUAAUACCGCAUAAGCCCACGGUGCCGCAUGGUACAGAGGGAAAAGGAGCAAUCCGCUUUGAGAUGGCCUCGCGUCCGAUUAGCUAGUUGGUGAGGUAACGGCCCACCAAGGCGACGAUCGGUAGCCGGACUGAGAGGUUGAACGGCCACAUUGGGACUGAGACACGGCCCAGACUCCUACGGGAGGCAGCAGUGGGGAAUAUUGCACAAUGGGGGAAACCCUGAUGCAGCGACGCCGCGUGGAGGAAGAAGGUCUUCGGAUUGUAAACUCCUGUUGUUGGGGAAGAUAAUGACGGUACCCAACAAGGAAGUGACGGCUAACUACGUGCCAGCAGCCGCGGUAAAACGUAGGUCACAAGCGUUGUCCGGAAUUACUGGGUGUAAAGGGAGCGCAGGCGGGAAGACAAGUUGGAAGUGAAAUCUAUGGGCUCAACCCAUAAACUGCUUUCAAAACUGUUUUUCUUGAGUAGUGCAGAGGUAGGCGGAAUUCCCGGUGUAGCGGUGGAAUGCGUAGAUAUCGGGAGGAACACCAGUGGCGAAGGCGGCCUACUGGGCACCAACUGACGCUGAGGCUCGAAAGUGUGGGUA
rnacentral:rRNA from 1 species